AGUAGCAUACAAGAUGCUAACGAGAUACUUCUGUAAUGUCAAUAGAGUAAAAAAUGGACCCACUUAAAGAAGUUCGUUCACUGCUGGCUACAACUACAAGCUAGCAAUCAAACCCAACAAAGGCUGUCACUGGAAUGGUGUUUUGAGCUAACGUUAGAAAUCAAACAAUCAUUGAUAGCUUAAACGUUUUUGAAAAGAUUCCCAUCUUUU